AUGAUCUGAAAUAAUGAAAAUUUUUAUUUUAUAAUAAUUUGAAUUCUAAAUUUAAUAAUAUUAUUAAGAGUUAGAAGGUCCCAAAAAUUAAAAAAAAAUAAUUUUUAAGAUGUUUACAGCUGUUAUAACAAAAGAAAGUUUUGAAUUUGUAGUAAAGAAGCUUAUGAUAGAAUUUCCUACUGGCUCUCUUGCUUAUUAUUAUUUGUGAAACAUUUGGUAAAAAAUAUUACAUCUAAUUGCGUCACGUCACAGACCAUUGCUGCUGGUGUCAACAAAUAUAUUUUAAAUAAUAUACAUUUAAACUCAGCACUGUUGACUAUACAUACAUGUACAUAUAUAUUCCUACAUAAGAUGCCGCAAAUUGACGUAAAUCAAUUCGCUUUUAAAAGAGAUAACUCGAAUGUACCGAUUCAUUCACACAUAUGUAUGUAUAUAAAUAGUCAUGCUCAAUUCAAAUAUUUCUUAAUCAUAGUGAUAACAAAUAAAGUAUUUUGGAAAUACAAACAUACAAACAUACAAACAUACAAACAUACAUACAUACAUACAUAUAUGUACCAAAUCAUCAAACCCAUUUACCAAAUACAAAUUAAAUUACGUGAAAAUGCAAAUUGUUCACGGCCAUGGACAUAAAUUUGGUUAUCGCAUCCCGUGAACUGGACUGAUGACGUUGACAUAUUUGUAUGUAUGUACGCUCAGCUGUUUAAAAAUAGACAUAAGUAGCAAAAAAAAGAAUAAAUAUUUGGCAUACGUGUAUGUACAAAUGCUUGACAUGCUACAUCCAUACAUAAAUACAUAUGUACAUACAAGUGUAUAAUGAAAUGAGCAAGGUAUUCUUGAAAUGAUUAUAUUUUCUGCACUAUUUUAAAAAUUUAAGAAACAUUUGUCAUUCUGAGGCUAUUUAUUUCCUCUUAAUACGUCAAUACAACGGAUAUGGCUUUCUUUCAAUAUGCAUACAGUUAUUUUUGUAAAAGAAUUCUUGUAGACACAUCUGUGCGAGCAUUAGUUACGAGUGUUGUUGGCCGCUCUUGAGUAUAAGCGGUUGGUUUUGUUGUGACAAGUAAUCAGCUACUGGAAGCGUGAUCAUGUUAUCUAUUCGUCAUACAUACAAACCAUUAUUUAUAAAGAUAUCUCCAAGCAUUUAAAAAAGUAUUAAAAUAAUUUGUUAUAAUUUUAUGAUACUUUUUAAGACGCCGGCUUUUUUCACAUAUAAAAGCAUACUUGAGUUACUUUUUCAAGUGGUUUAUAGCGGCUGAUAAAGAUUUAAGAAUAUAAUCUUGUACUUUUAAGAUAACUCAGCCGAUCUAUUGAAUCUUUUUAACCCCAUGGGCUUAUGUACUUGUGAUAUUUGCAGUAUAUCUAUGUAUAUUAUGCAAUAUCUACUACUCUUGUAAUAUUCCAGAAGCCAUUGCUGAUCGAAACUGGUUCAUACCGGUGAUAUAUGCAAUUUUGAGCUAUUUUAAAAGGAUUUAAAUAAUUAUUUAUACAAUAAAUACCAACAUAAUAUGAAUAUUUGCAUAUGUAUGCAUCUAUUUGUAUUUACCUAGGCACAUAUGCAAUUGCAUGGGGAAGUAAUUUUUAGAUUUGUAGGGUAAGUGCAUAAUGUUUCUACACAUAUACUAUAAAAUAAAUUACUACUAGUUUGUACAAAUAUGCACACACAUUUAUGUUCGAGUAGAUGGGUAGGCAUAUUUCUUGAAGUACCUUUCUACUAAGACCUACUAAUUUAUUACCUAAUAAAACUAUGUCAAGCAUUUUAAUAACAAUUAAAAAUAGCUAACCAAUUAACUGCUUAAAUUGAUUUAUGUACAUACAUA